rnacentral:rRNA from 1 species
AGAGUUUGAUCCUGGCUCAGGACGAACGCUGGCGGCGCGCUUAACACAUGCAAGUCGAACGGAGUUUAAGAGGAAGCUUGCGAAUCUUAGACUUAGUGGCGGACGGGUGAGUAACGCGUGGAUAACCUACCUUAAGGACUGGGAUAACACCGGGAAACUGGUGCUAAUACCGGAUAAGCUCAUUGGUGCACAUGCAUAGAUGAGGAAAGGAGCAAUCCGCUUUAAGAUGGAUCCGCGUCCCAUUAGCUAGUUGGCGGUGUAAUGGACCACCAAGGCAACGAUGGGUAGCCGGCCUGAGAGGGUGGACGGCCACACUGGAACUGAGACCACGGUCCAGACUCCUACGGGAGGCAGCAGUGGGGAAUCUUCCGCAAUGGGCGAAAGCCUGACGGAGCAACGCCGCGUGAAUGAUGAAGGCCUUCGGGUUGUAAAAUUCUGUCUUCAGGGAAGAAAAAAAUGACGGUACCUGAGGAGGAAGCCCCGGCUAACUACGUGCCAGCAGCCGCGGUAAUACGUAGGGGGCGAGCGUUGUCCGGAAUUACUGGGCGUAAAGGGCGCGUAGGCGGUUUCUUAAGUCAGAGGUGAAAACUAUGGGCUCAACCCAUAGCCUGCCUUUGAAACUGGGAGACUUGAGGACAGGAGAGGGGAGUGGAAUUCCCAGUGUAGCGGUGAAAUGCGUAGAUAUUGGGAGGAACACCAGUGGCGAAGGCGGCUCUCUGGCCUGUAACUGACGCUGAGGCGCGAAAGCGUGGGGAGCGAACGGGAUUAGAUACCCCGGUAGUCCACGCCGUAAACGAUGGGUGCUAGGUGUAGGAGGUAUCGACCCCUUCUGUGCCGUAGUUAACACAAUAAGCACCCCGCCUGGGGAGUACGGCCGCAAGGUUGAAACUCAAAGGAAUUGACGG